rnacentral:lncRNA from 1 species
CAUAUAUUUUAAAAUAAAAACAUAAAAACAUGAAAACAAAAAUUACAACAAAAAACGAUAAUAAUUUAAAAGAUGCAUCGAAGCUUAAUUGUUAUCUUGAUCACGUCCAAAUUUACGUUACUUUUCUUUUUUUUAAAUAGCAAUCCUCGUGAUUUUUUCCUAUUGGUUAAUACAAGAAAGCGAGGAUAACUUCUUGUUGUAAUCUUAACCGUUGAUGAGUAUAAUCUAAAGGACAUAAACAUUUUGCUUUUUUAAUGGUUUUCCCUCUCUCUUGUUCUCUCUCCAUCUUUUUUAAUGGGGGGGGGAGAGGAUUAAUAUUGUUGAGACCAACGGCUCCACUCAGGGGGUACGGUGAGUCCACUCUGGUGCCUACGGGGACCAACGUCGGCUCCACCCCCGCCACCCCCACCAUUGGUUCCUGCCGUGAGCAACCCCGCCUCACCUACGUGGAGAACACCACCACCCCCACCAUGGGU